CGUGGGGAAGAAGGCUUCGGGUUGUAACCCUUCAGGAAGGACGAAGCUACUCGGGUUAAUAGCCCAGAGGGUGACGGUACUUCCAGAAGAAGCCCCGGCUAACUACGUGC
rnacentral:rRNA from 1 species